rnacentral:rRNA from 1 species
AACUCGAAAAGUUAACACGUGGCUAUCAAGUGGCCAUUUGAUGUCAACAUGUUAUGUAAAAGUCUUACAAGAUAACCUUAAGAGUUUUACUAAGAUGUCUAAGUAUUUUUAUCAAAAUUUUAAUCUGAAAAGCUAACACGUAGAUGCUUAAGUGGCCAUUCGACAUUAACCUGUUAUAGUUUUUACUAUAACUCUUUUUUACUUAAGAGUUUUACUAAGAUGCCUAAGUAUUUUUAUCAAAAUUUUAAUCUGAAAAGCUAACACAUAGAUGCUAAGUGGCCAUUCGACAUUAACCUGUUAUAGUUUUUACUAUGACUCUUUUUUACUUUGAACGUUGAUUGUUGUUACCUAUGUUGAUAAGCCCUAGAUGUAGUGAGAAACAACCCCACUUAAUGCACUUAGGUGUUUAGGGGUAAUCCAGCCGCUGUCCUUAAAUACUUUGAGAAACUUUAAGUGAAAGUAGCACUUACCUUUUAAAUAACUUUUACCCUGGUUUUCCAUGCCUUAAACCUCUCAAAUUAGGGUUUAGGGGUCAAUGGGUCAUUAAUUAACUCACCAAGUAUAUUCCCUUGGGAAUGAGAUUCUGAUUAUGUAAACAGGAAAACAUGGGGAGCCCUCUGUCACAUAUAUUAAAUAGUACAUGUAGGAGAGCUCUUGGGGUCAUGACUGAGUUUGUUGCUCUUUUAUCGAUGCAAACUUUAGCUUGUGUUGUUAAGGUACAACCCUCUGUUGUGCCGCCCUAACUUCCAGAUGACAGGGGUUUUGUGGUUAACACGUUCGAUGACUUUAGCAAAUGCAAGGUCUCGAGUUCGAGUCCAGUCUGAAACAUGACUACUCAUCCUAGUGCAGUCCAUGCUUGUGUUGACUUGUGUGUGUCCUUGGCACACAGCUUAGGCACCCCUCUCCUAAACCAUCCUAGUGCAGUUGCUCAUCCUAGUGCAGUCCAUGCUUGUGUGACUUGUGUGUUGUCCUUGGCACACAGCUUAGGCACCCCUCCCUAAACCAUCCUAGUGCACUCAUCCUAGUGCAGUCCAUGCUUGUGUUGACUUGUGUGUUGUCCUUGGCACACAGCUUAGGCACCCCUCUCCUAAACCAUCCUAGUGCAGUUGCUCAUCCUGUGCAGUCCAUGCUUGUGUUGACUUGUGUUGUCCUUGGCACACAGCUUAGGCACCCCUCUCCUAAACCAUCCUAGUGCAGUCCAUGCUUGUGUUGACUUGUGUAGCUGUGUGCACCCCUCUCCUAAACCAUCCUAGUGCAGUCCAUGCUUGUGUUGACUUGUGUUGUCCUUGGCACACAGCUUAGGCACCCCUCUCCUAAAACCAUCCUAGUGCAGUCCAUGCUUGUGUUGACUUGUGUUGACUUGUGUUGUUGCCAAGUGCUUGUGUUGACUUGUGUUUGUCCUUGGCACACAGCUUAGGCACCCCUCUCCUAAACCAUCCUUGUGUUGACUUGUGUUGUCCUUGGCACACAGCUUAGGCACCCCUCUCCUAAACCAGUUUAUCUUCUCCUUCCCACUGGUCACUCAUCUCAAAACUUGCUCUGAUAAGAUAAACUUGCUCUAGACCACAAGGUAAAUUUUUAUUUGUUCUUGCUUGACAGGUAUAUUGUGGUGGAGGGACAUUUUUGCCCAGUGCUCUGAAUGUCAAAGUGAAGAAAUUCAACCAAGCGCGAGUAAAUGGUGGGAGUAACCAUGACUCUCUUAAGGUAGCCAAAUGCCUCGUCAUCUAAUUAGUGACGCACAUGAAUGGAUUAACGAGAUUCCCAUUGUCCCUAUCUACUAUCUAGCGAAACCACAGCCAAUUGAACGGGCUUGGAAGAAUCAGUGGGGAGCCCCUGUUGAGCUUGACUCUAGUCCGAUUUUGUGAAAUGACUUGAGAGGUGUAGAAUAAGUGGGAGCUUCAACGCAAGUGAAACACCACUACUUUUAACGUUAUUUUACUUACUCCGUGAGGUGGAGGCGGGCUCUUCCCCUUCUUCUGGCCUUAAGGUCGGCUUCGCCGGCUGAUCCAGGUGAAUGACAUUGUCAGGUGGGGAGUUUGGCUGGGGCGGCACAUCUGUUAAAAGAUAACGCACGUGUCCUAAGAUGAGCUCAAUGAGAACAGAAAUCUCAUGUGGAACAGAAGGGUAAAAGAUCAUUUGAUUUUGAUCUUCAGUACGGAUACAAAAUGUGAAAGCAUGGCCUAUCGAUCCUUUAUUGUUUCGGAGUUUGAAGCUAGAGGUGUCAGAAAAGUUACCACAGGGAUAACUGGCUUGUGGCAGCCAAGCGUUCAUAGCGACGUUGCUUUUUGAUCCUUCGAUGUCGCUCUUCCUAUCAUUGUGAAGCAGAAUUCACCAGGUGUUGGAUUGUUCACCCACCAAUAGGGAACGUGAGCUAGGUUUAGACCGUCGUGAGAUGAAUCCUUUGCACAUGACUUAAAUAAGCGAUGGGGUACUAUAAGCGGCAGAGUAGCCUGCUACUACGAUCUGCUGAGGUUCAACCCUUUGUUGCAUUGAUUUGUCCCUCCCCCGAGGGGCCAUGUGGGGUACAUUUUUCUAGAAGAGCUGGGCCUGCGCUUGGGUAGCCAAGGACUUGAAGUCUAUGGCCAACCGAGGACAUUGAGUACAUGUCUCCUUUUCUUGGGAAGCCAAGGACUUGGAGGCCAUGGCUCCUUGUCCCUGGGCAGCCAAGGGCUGAAUUGGCUCCUUU